rnacentral:lncRNA from 13 species
UAUAAAACAGCUCAGAAAAAAUGCAAAACAGCAAUAGACAAAGAUAAUCUGUCAUCACUAUCUGAAGCUGCUGAAUAUAGACGUCGUAUUCACAAAAAUAGAAAAAGAGAUAGUGAUACGGACGAGGAGAGCGAAGAGGAAUCGUUCAUUAAUUUUCCUACAUACAAUCCAGAUAAUACUGUUUCUUCACCAAAUUUAGCACAUAUAGAUUUAAGUAAUGAAGCUCACAGUAAAACGAAUCAAUUUACAAGCAAAAAGAUAAAAUCUGAUACUGUUUUAAAUGAGGUUCAUAAAAA